GGUUAAGCGACUAAGCGUACACGGUGGAUGCCCUGGCAGUCAGAGGCGAUGAAGGACGUGCUAAUCUGCGAUAAGCGUCGGUAAGGUGAUAUGAACCGUUAUAACCGGCGAUUUCCGAAUGGGGAAACCCAGUGUGAUUCGUCACACUAUCAUUAACUGAAUCCAUAGGUUAAUGAGGCGAACCGGGGGAACUGAAACAUCUAAGUACCCCGAGGAAAAGAAAUCAACCGAGAUUCCCCCAGUAGCGGCGAGCGAACGGGGAGCAGCCCAGAGCCUGAAUCAGUGUGUGUGUUAGUGGAAGCGUCUGGAAAGGCGCGCGAUACAGGGUGACAGCCCCGUACACAAAAAUGCACAUGCUGUGAGCUCGAUGAGUAGGGCGGGACACGUGGUAUCCUGUCUGAAUAUGGGGGGACCAUCCUCCAAGGCUAAAUACUCCUGACUGACCGAUAGUGAACCAGUACCGUGAGGGAAAGGCGAAAAGAACCCCGGCGAGGGGAGUGAAAAAGAACCUGAAACCGUGUACGUACAAGCAGUGGGAGCACGCUUAGGCGUGUGACUGCGUACCUUUUGUAUAAUGGGUCAGCGACUUAUAUUCUGUAGCAAGGUUAACCGAAUAGGGGAGCCGAAGGGAAACCGAGUCUUAACUGGGCGUUAAGUUGCAGGGUAUAGACCCGAAACCCGGUGAUCUAGCCAUGGGCAGGUUGAAGGUUGGGUAACACUAACUGGAGGACCGAACCGACUAAUGUUGAAAAAUUAGCGGAUGACUUGUGGCUGGGGGUGAAAGGCCAAUCAAACCGGGAGAUAGCUGGUUCUCCCCGAAAGCUAUUUAGGUAGCGCCUCGUGAAUUCAUCUCCGGGGGUAGAGCACUGUUUCGGCAAGGGGGUCAUCCCGACUUACCAACCCGAUGCAAACUGCGAAUACCGGAGAAUGUUAUCACGGGAGACACACGGCGGGUGCUAACGUCCGUCGUGAAGAGGGAAACAACCCAGACCGCCAGCUAAGGUCCCAAAGUCAUGGUUAAGUGGGAAACGAUGUGGGAAGGCCCAGACAGCCAGGAUGUUGGCUUAGAAGCAGCCAUCAUUUAAAGAAAGCGUAAUAGCUCACUGGUCGAGUCGGCCUGCGCGGAAGAUGUAACGGGGCUAAACCAUGCACCGAAGCUGCGGCAGCGACACUAUGUGUUGUUGGGUAGGGGAGCGUUCUGUAAGCCUGUGAAGGUGUACUGUGAGGUAUGCUGGAGGUAUCAGAAGUGCGAAUGCUGACAUAAGUAACGAUAAAGCGGGUGAAAAGCCCGCUCGCCGGAAGACCAAGGGUUCCUGUCCAACGUUAAUCGGGGCAGGGUGAGUCGACCCCUAAGGCGAGGCCGAAAGGCGUAGUCGAUGGGAAACAGGUUAAUAUUCCUGUACUUGGUGUUACUGCGAAGGGGGGACGGAGAAGGCUAUGUUGGCCGGGCGACGGUUGUCCCGGUUUAAGCGUGUAGGCUGGUUUUCCAGGCAAAUCCGGAAAAUCAAGGCUGAGGCGUGAUGACGAGGCACUACGGUGCUGAAGCAACAAAUGCCCUGCUUCCAGGAAAAGCCUCUAAGCAUCAGGUAACAUCAAAUCGUACCCCAAACCGACACAGGUGGUCAGGUAGAGAAUACCAAGGCGCUUGAGAGAACUCGGGUGAAGGAACUAGGCAAAAUGGUGCCGUAACUUCGGGAGAAGGCACGCUGAUAUGUAGGUGAAGUCCCUCGCGGAUGGAGCUGAAAUCAGUCGAAGAUACCAGCUGGCUGCAACUGUUUAUUAAAAACACAGCACUGUGCAAACACGAAAGUGGACGUAUACGGUGUGACGCCUGCCCGGUGCCGGAAGGUUAAUUGAUGGGGUCAGCGCAAGCGAAGCUCUUGAUCGAAGCCCCGGUAAACGGCGGCCGUAACUAUAACGGUCCUAAGGUAGCGAAAUUCCUUGUCGGGUAAGUUCCGACCUGCACGAAUGGCGUAAUGAUGGCCAGGCUGUCUCCACCCGAGACUCAGUGAAAUUGAACUCGCUGUGAAGAUGCAGUGUACCCGCGGCAAGACGGAAAGACCCCGUGAACCUUUACUAUAGCUUGACACUGAACAUUGAGCCUUGAUGUGUAGGAUAGGUGGGAGGCUUUGAAGUGUGGACGCCAGUCUGCAUGGAGCCGACCUUGAAAUACCACCCUUUAAUGUUUGAUGUUCUAACGUUGACCCGUAAUCCGGGUUGCGGACAGUGUCUGGUGGGUAGUUUGACUGGGGCGGUCUCCUCCUAAAGAGUAACGGAGGAGCACGAAGGUUGGCUAAUCCUGGUCGGACAUCAGGAGGUUAGUGCAAUGGCAUAAGCCAGCUUGACUGCGAGCGUGACGGCGCGAGCAGGUGCGAAAGCAGGUCAUAGUGAUCCGGUGGUUCUGAAUGGAAGGGCCAUCGCUCAACGGAUAAAAGGUACUCCGGGGAUAACAGGCUGAUACCGCCCAAGAGUUCAUAUCGACGGCGGUGUUUGGCACCUCGAUGUCGGCUCAUCACAUCCUGGGGCUGAAGUAGGUCCCAAGGGUAUGGCUGUUCGCCAUUUAAAGUGGUACGCGAGCUGGGUUUAGAACGUCGUGAGACAGUUCGGUCCCUAUCUGCCGUGGGCGCUGGAGAAUUGAGGGGGGCUGCUCCUAGUACGAGAGGACCGGAGUGGACGCAUCACUGGUGUUCGGGUUGUCAUGCCAAUGGCACUGCCCGGUAGCUAAAUGCGGAAGAGAUAAGUGCUGAAAGCAUCUAAGCACGAAACUUGCCCCGAGAUGAGUUCUCCCUGACUCCUUGAGAGUCCUGAAGGAACGUUGAAGACGACGACGUUGAUAGGCCGGGUGUGUAAGCGCAGCGAUGCGUUGAGCUAACCGGUACUAAUGAACCGUGAGGCUUAACCUU
rnacentral:rRNA from 1 species